GACGAACGCUGGCGGCGUGCUUAACACAUGCAAGUCGUACGGUAAGGCCCUUUCGGGGGUCCACGAGUGGCGAACGGGUGAGUAACACGUGAGUAACCUGCCCACAACUUUGGGAUAACGCUAGGAAACUGGUGCUAAUACCGGAUAUGUGCUCCUGCUGCAUGGUGGGGGUUGGAAAGCUCCGGCGGUUGUGGAUGGACUCGCGGCCUAUCAGCUUGUUGGUGGGGUAGUGGCCUACCAAGGCGGCGACGGGUAGCCGGCCUGAGAGGGUGACCGGCCACAUUGGGACUGGGAUACGGCCCAGACUCCUACGGGAGGCAGCAGUGGGGAAUAUUGCACAAUGGGCGCAAGCCUGAUGCAGCAACGCCGCGUGCGGGAUGACGGCCUUCGGGUUGUAAACCGCUUUCAGCAGGGACGAAGCUUUUUGUGACGGUACCUGCAGAAGAAGCACCGGCUAACUACGUG
rnacentral:rRNA from 1 species